rnacentral:snRNA from 1 species
UUGCUUUGGUAGCAAAUAUAUUAAAAAAAUUGAAGUAACACUGAGAAGAUUAGCAUGGCUCCUGCCCAAGGAUGACACACAAAUGUAUGAAACCUUCCAUAUUUUU